rnacentral:rRNA from 1 species
AUUGAACGCUGGCGGCAUGCUUUACACACGCAAGUCGAACGGUAACAGGCCGCAAGGUGCUGACGAGUGGCGAACGGGUGAGUAAUGCAUCGGAACGUGCCCAGUCGUGGGGGAUAACUGCUCGAAAGAGCAGCUAAUACCGCAUACGAUCUAUGGAUGAAAGCGGGGGACCGUAAGGCCUCGCGCGAUUGGAGCGGCCGAUGUCAGAUUAGGUAGUUGGUGGGGUAAAGGCUCACCAAGCCGACGAUCUGUAGCUGGUCUGAGAGGACGACCAGCCACACUGGGACUGAGACACGGCCCAGACUCCUACGGGAGGCAGCAGUGGGGAAUUUUGGACAAUGGGCGCAAGCCUGAUCCAGCAAUGCCGCGUGCAGGAAGAAGGCCUUCGGGUUGUAAACUGCUUUUGUACGGAACGAAACGGUCCUGGUUAAUACCCGGGGCUAAUGACGGUACCGUAAGAAUAAGCACCGGCUAACUACGUGCCAGCAGCCGCCGUAAUAC